rnacentral:rRNA from 1 species
GACGUAGGGACCAAGCGUUGGUCGGAUUUACUGGGCGUAAAGGGCGCGUAGGCGGCGUGACAAGUCACUUGUGAAAUCUCUGAGCUUAACUCAGAACGGCCAAGUGAAACUGUUGUGCUAGAGUGCAGAAGGGGCAAUCGGAAUUCUUGGUGUAGCGGUGAAAUGCGUAGAUAUCAAGAGGAACACCUGAGGUGAAGACGGGUUGCUGGGCUGACACUGACGCUCAUGCACGAAAGCGUGGGGAGCAAACAGG